UUUGGUAUAAGAUAUUAUUUUCUUUACUAUACUGUAGUUAGAUUGUAGUUGUUAAAAUAAAAACAUUUUUAAACAUAUAAUAAACGUAAUUAAGCUCGGAUUGGUACACUUGCACUAUUUAAACCUAUAUAUCAUAUUGUAAUCAAUCCUUGAAUAUUUUGUAUUUAAACAAUAUUGUGUAAGACAACAUUGAUACUUAGGUAUGUUUUGUGCGUCGUCGCAAAAAAGGAAUUCACUAAUACAGCCUCUUUAAUCUUUAUUAUACCUUAUAUUCGGCAGAAAGUCCCCCGACUCCCAGUGUGUGUGAGAAUUAGGGUUAAUGUGCGCCACGUACUGUGCCUAGCGAUAGUGUAUUUUAUUUUAUAAUCAAUAAUUGAUAAUAAUUAUUGUUUUUAUUGAUUUCUGUAAAUGCGUUACAACCUAUUACCUAACGUUACGCAUAGUGUUUCUUUUUUAUUUCACAAUAAUAUAUUAUACGUUGGAACCAGUACGGUUCAUUUUUUUAAUUAUAAUUUAUUAAUUAUUAACCAACCCCAUUAUCCUACAAGUGGUUUGUAGGUAUUGUUGAUAAUUUAUGGUGACUCUGGAAACAUGGAAAGUUAUAUUAAAACGUGUAAAACGAGAAGGAAUUUUAAAAUUUACCGAGGAUAGUAAGGUGAAAGAAUCAAUUUUGUUGAAUAGAAGAUCAUUGAAGAACUUAGAACUAAGCAUACUUCUACGUUCAGCAAAGUAAUGAAGCCCAACUGCCCAAGUACUUCAGCGAUAGGAGAGAAAUCGUGCGGUUCAUGAGGAACACCUAAAGAGAAGCCAAUAAAGCUCAAAAAUUGUAAACGUUUAAGUUUAUUUAAAUUAGUGGCCGUAUAAGGAUUCCAGAUUACCGAUCAAUAUUUUAAGAUGGGUCGAACUAGAGCAUAAUAAAGGAUUUAAAAAAUCAUUGAAAUGUGUUCACUCGGAUUGUGGUUAAGUACUUGAUAAUUUGAAGCCCAUGUCUACUAUACAAAGAUGCGUUCGAUGUUAGUACCGGAGAGUUUAUAUGUCCAUACAAUUGAAUUACGAGACCGGGAGAAGAACAUAACUCGAUUUUUAGCAAGAUUAAGUCUUAAGUCUAAAGUUUUACAUCACCUAUAGAAAGAAUUAACAUUAUUUUGUAAACACAAACAGUCUUCAGCUGAUUUUAUUUCCAAAUAUAUUUUCAUGUCGUUAGCAAAAUAUAAUGCUAAGUGAUCUGAUAUCUUGUAUACUAAAUAUAAUACAUGAAGGUACUACAUUAGAAAAA